rnacentral:rRNA from 1 species
AUACGGAGGGUGCAAGCGUUAAUCGGAUUCAUUGGGCGUAAAGAGUGCGUAGGCGGGGAGGUAAGUUAGAUGUGAAAGCCCGGGGCUCAACCCCGGUCCCGCGUCUAAUACUGCCUCUCUAGAGGAUAGGCGGAGAAAAGGGAAUUCCACGUGUAGCGGUGAAAUGCGUAGAUAUGUGGAGGAACACCGGUGGCGAAGGCGCUUUUCUAGCUUAGACCUAACGCUGAGGCACGAAAGCGAGGGGAGCAAACAGGAUUAGAAACCCCAGUAGUCC